rnacentral:rRNA from 1 species
GUGGGGAAUCUUGCGCAAUGGGCGAAAGCCUGACGCAGCCAUGCCGCGUGAAUGAUGAAGGUCUUAGGAUUGUAAAAUUCUUUCACCGGGGACGAUAAUGACGGUACCCGGUGAAGAAGCUCCGGCUAACUUCGUGCCAGCAGCCGCGGUAAUACGAAGGGGGCUAGCGUUGCUCGGAAUUACUGGGCGUAAAGGGCGCGUAGGCGGACAGCUUAGUCAGAGGUGAAAGCCCAGGGCUCAACCUUGGAAUUGCCUUUGAUACUGGCUGUCUUGAGUUUGGGAGAGGUGAGUGGAACUCCGAGUGUAGAGGUGAAAUUCGUAGAUAUUCGGAAGAACACCAGUGGCGAAGGCGACUCACUGGCCCAAUACUGACGCUGAGGCGCGAAAGCGUGGGGAGCAAACAGGAUUAGAAACCCCGGUAGUCC